rnacentral:misc_RNA from 1 species
GAUGAAGAACGUAGCGAAAUGCGAUAAGUAAUGUGAAUUGCAGAGUUCAGUGAAUCAUCGAAUCUUUGAACGCACAUUGCGCCCCUUGGUAUCCCGAGGGGCAUGCCUGUUCGAGCGUCAUUUCACCACUCAAGCCUGGCUUGGUGUUGGGCGACGUCCUCUUUGGGGACGCGCCUCGAAACGCUCGGCGGCGUGGCACCGGCUUUAAGCGUAGCAGAAUCUUUCGCUUUGGAAGUCGGGGCCCCGUCUGCCGGAAGACCUGCUCGCAAGGUUGACCUCGGAUCAGGCAGGGAUACCCGCUGAACUUAAGCAUAUCAAUAAGCGGAGGA